AGAGUUUGAUCAUGGCUCAGAACGAACGCUGGCGGCAGGCCUAACACAUGCAAGUCGAGCGCCCCGCAAGGGGAGCGGCGGACGGGUGAGUAACACGUGGGAAUUUUCCUCAAGGUACGGAACAACUCAGGGAAACUUGGGCUAAUACCGUAUGAUGUCUAGCGACCAAAGAUUUAUCGCCUUGGGAUAAGCCCGCGUCAGAUUAGGUAGUUGGUGAGGUAACGGCUCACCAAGCCUGUGAUCUGUAGCUGGUCUGAGAGGACGAUCAGCCACAUUGGGACUGAGACACGGCCCAGACUCCUACGGGAGGCAGCAGUGGGGAAUUGUUCGCAAUGGGCGCAAGCCUGACGACGCAACGCCGCGUGGAGGAUGAAGAUUUUCGGAUCGUAAACUCCUGUCGAGUGGGACGAACAGGUCGUCGGCGAAUAGCCGGCGAUCCUGACGGUACCGCUAAAGAGC
rnacentral:rRNA from 1 species